rnacentral:rRNA from 1 species
AUUGAACGCUGGCGGCAUGCCUUACACAUGCAAGUCGAACGGCAGCACGGGAGCAAUCCUGGUGGCGAGUGGCGAACGGGUGAGUAAUAUAUCGGAACGUGCCCAGUCUGGGGGAUAACGUAGCGAAAGCUACGCUAAUACCACAUACGAUCUAUGGAUGAAAGCGGGGGAUCGCAAGACCUCGCGCGAUUGGAGCGGCCGAUAUCAGAUUAGGUAGUUGGUGAGGUAAAGGCUCACCAAGCCGACGAUCUGUAGCUGGUCUGAGAGGACGACCAGCCACACUGGAACUGAGACACGGUCCAGACUCCUACGGGAGGCAGCAGUGGGGAAUUUUGGACAAUGGACGCAAGUCUGAUCCAGCAUUCCGCGUGCAGGAUGAAGGCCUCGGGUGUAAAC